rnacentral:rRNA from 1 species
UACGGCGAGUGAGAGGGAAGAGCCCAAGAUUGAAAGCUGGCGUCUUCGGCGUCCGCAUUGUAAUCUCAAGAAGUGUUUUCCGCUUCGGACCAAGCCUAAGUCCCCUGGAAAGGGGCAUCAUAGAGGGUGAUAAUCCCGUACAUGGCUUGGAGCGCCCGAGGCUUUGUGAUACGCUUUCUAAGAGUCGAGUUGUUUGGGAAUGCAGCUCAAAAUGGGUGGUAAAUGCCAUCUAAGGCUAAAUAUUGGGGAGAGACCGAUAGCGAACAAGUACAGUGAUGGAAAGAUGAAAAGAACUUUGAAAAGAGAGUUAAACAGUACGUGAAAUUGCCAAAAGGGAAGGGUAGGAGGUCAGAGAUGCGGCCUGGGAUUCAGCCUUGCUUUUGCUUGGUGUUUUUCCCAGAUUGCAGGCCAACGUCGGUUUUGGGCACUGGAGAAGGGUAGGAGGAACGUGGCACCCCUCGGGGUGUGUUAUAGCCUCCUACUGGAUACAGCGACCGAGACCGAGGACAGCAGCGUACUCGCAAGAGCGGGCCUUCGGGCACCUUUACGCUUAGGGCGUUGGCAUAAUGGCCCUCUACCAC